rnacentral:rRNA from 1 species
UGGGGAAUAUUGCGCAAUGGGCGAAAGCCUGACGCAGCGACGCCGCGUGAGGGAUGAAGGCCUUCGGGUUGUAAACCUCUUUCAGCAGGGGAAGAAGCGAGAGUGACGGUACCUGCAGAAGAAGCACCGGCUAACUACGUGCCAGCAGCCGCGGUAAUACGUAGGGUGCAAGCGUUGUCCGGAAUUAUUGGGCGUAAAGAGCUCGUAGGCGGUUUGUCGCGUCUGCUGUGAAAACUCGGGGCUCAACUCCGAGCUUGCAGUGGGUACGGGCAGACUAGAGUGCGGUAGGGGAGACUGGAAUUCCUGGUGUAGCGGUGAAAUGCGCAGAUAUCAGGAGGAACACCGGUGGCGAAGGCGGGUCUCUGGGCCGUAACUGACGCUGAGGAGCGAAAGCAUGGGGAGCGAACAGGAUUAGAUACCCUGGUAGUCCAUGCCGUAAACGUUGGGCGCUAGGUGUGGGGCUCUUUCCACGAGUUCUGUGCCGCAGCUAACGCAUUAAGCGCCCCGCCUGGGAGUACGGCCGCAAGGCUAAAACUC